rnacentral:rRNA from 2 species
UAAUAGCUCACUGGUCGAGUCGGCCUGCGCGGAAGAUGUAACGGGGCUAAACCAUGCACCGAAGCUGCGGCAGCGACACUAUGUGUUGUUGGGUAGGGGAGCGUUCUGUAAGCCUGCGAAGGUGGCCUGUGAGGGUUGCUGGAGGUAUCAGAAGUGCGAAUGCUGACAUAAGUAACGAUAAAGCGGGUGAAAAGCCCGCUCGCCGGAAGACCA